UACGGAGGGUGCGAGCGUUAAUCGGAAUUACUGGGCGUAAAGCGCGCGUAGGUGGUUUGUUAAGCGAGAUGUGAAAGCCCCGGGCUCAACCUGGGAACUGCAUUUCGAACUGGCAGGCUAGAGUAUGGUAGAGGUAAGUGGAAUUUCCUGUGUAGCGGUGAAAUGCGUAGAUAUAGGAAGGAACACCAGUGGCGAAGGCGACUUACUGGACCAAUACUGACACUGAGGUGCGAAAGCGUGGGGAGCAAAC
rnacentral:rRNA from 1 species